ensembl:lncRNA
CCUUUCUGUCUGGGAGCUUCCAUGUGGACCGAGAGAGGAGGAGAGAGGGAGGAAACAGAGGAUGCAGACAGCAACACAGAGGAGACACAGAGCGCAGGAGGAGGGAAAGUAACUGAUGGAGAGAAAGUGAGAGAGAGAGAGAGAGAGAGAUGGAGUGAGCAGCUCUGAACAACACUGAGAGCUCGGGAGGGAAGAUGCCAGACAAAAUAUGAAGAAAGACCUGAGUCUAUUAAAAAUGGCAAGAAAAACCGAACAUAGAUUCUGAAACGGGAGACGUUGAAGGUAAAUUCAGGAUGUCUGGGGAUUUUUAAAGUCGUCUAGUCUUCCGGAUGUUAAUCGUAGAUGCUGUGAUUCCCUUGGACGUUUGUCAGAUGGGAUUUCCUGCUCUCUUCUGGAACUAUCUGCAUGGUUUCUUGCCCUCCGACCUUUAAAGUUCUCCUGUUUUCCCUGUUACCCGAUCUUCAAGUCAUCAUUUUCAGUUGAAAGGGGACCAGUCUUCCAUUCUUGGUUAGUACAGAGGACAUCUUCAUAACUCCUUGAUUAAUUUUGGCUUGGAACAGAACAGACUUGGAUGUGCACAAUCAAGACAAGCCUGUGCAACACCAUGCAGAGCGCCGUCACCGGAAAAGGACAGCGGGACCGUCAAACUCACUUGAUUCUGUUGCAGUGAAAGAUUCAUGAACCUAAGUGUUUCUUGUUCUCUCUCUGUUCACAGCAAAAACAACACCACCGUCAAGCAGCUUCAUCACUCAGCACAGAUAACAAGCCUGUACUAACUGGAUUCACGAGGUUCCAGAAACAAUCUGAGCUCGGGAUAAACAAGCCUGUGACAGAACUGGACCAGGCCAACAAAAGGGUGCAGGGGGAGUGGACCGGGACCCAGGCCGCGUGGGGCUUCCAGCGGUUCUUUCAGGUCCUGCAGGGAUGGAUGCAACGGCAGAAUAGAAAACAGGACGGGACGUUUCUGCUGUCCCACUGGUACAAUGCGUGGCGUGGCGCCCUCUGGAGGUGGGGAUCACU